GAACGCAGUCUAUGCGCGCGACGCGGUUUCUAAACUGCAGCCUGUAAACAGCGCUUCCCGUUGGCAUUGUCAAACGUAAUAAAUACUUGUAUUUUACGCUAACCUUUUCAGAAACAAACUCACAGAACACGGCCUGGAGGUGACUGACAAGCAAGCACGACACAGACACACCAGGAGAUGCGCUGAACAGAGGAAAUAACACGAUGGAAACAUCAGUGGACUUUAUAACAGCAGGAAUGGACCAGACGGAAUCGCUCCCAAGUGACCAUCGUCAUGCCAGGAGGUGUGGGCCCUUAGGAGUGUCGCUACGAGCCACACAGCAAACUACCCCAUCCCCGACAAACAACAAGUGAACCAGAGAUCUCCCCCUGUCCCAAUGCACUAGACACUUACAGCUCCAACACUGGGCCAAGCACUCCACUGCAGCUUUUGCAGCUGGGCUGCCCUGCCUCACUUGGAUGCAUCAACAAAGCUUGAAGUGGCCACUCUAAUCUGGUUAAGUAUUGCCUGGUUGGGGAGAAAUUAGCCGAAUUCUUUUAACUUUUCAAACAAACAUAAUACAGUCAAACUUGCUGGAUAAGAAUCAAUUACAUGAACUGAAAAUAGGUUCGGGGGGAUAUCAUUUCAUUUCUGGAAAUCAUCUAAUACAUCUAUUCAAUGGCAUAUGCCUGUAGUGUCACAUCGAAGCCAUAUUUCAGUCCAGUGAGAUGAAUGAAGAGUAUCUGUUGAAACACUGCCGGAAUACGUUUCACAAAUCUUUUUCACCCAGUGGCGAUAUUGCUAUUAUCAGCAUUACUUGAAAAAUAGUUAUUCCCUGCCUAAAUCCAUAAGAUAUUGUAGGAAUAAUGGGAUAAUUUUAGGGUAAUUGCAUAGUUUCUCACUAUGAUUGAU